UUGACUAUACUUUCAGGGAUCAUUUCUAUAGUUCAUUACUAGAGAAGUUUCUCAGAAUGUAUAGAGAGAGAAAAAAAAGAAU
rnacentral:snoRNA from 2 species